AUUGAACGCUGGCGGCAGGCUUAACACAUGCAAGUCGAGCGGGGUGAUGGUGCUUGCACUAUCACUUAGCGGCGGACGGGUGAGUAAUGCUUAGGAAUCUGCCUAUUAGUGGGGGACAACAUCUCGAAAGGGAUGCUAAUACCGCAUACGUCCUACGGGAGAAAGCAGGGGAUCACUUAUGACCUUGCGCUAAUAGAUGAGCCUAAGUCGGCUUAGCUAGUUGGUGGGGUAAAGGCCUACCAAGGCGACGAUCUGUAGCGGGUCUGAGAGGAUGACCCGCAAGACUGGGACUGAGCCCAAGACCAGACUCCUACGGGAGGCAGCAGUUGGGAAUAUGUGCCAAAGGGGGGAACCCUGAUCAAGCCAUGCCGCGUGAAGGAAGACGGCCUUCUGGGUUGUAAACUGCUUUUACCUGGGGAUAAAAAUGCCUUGCGAGGCAAACUGAAGGUACCAGGUGAAUAAGCCACGGCUAACUACGUGCCAGCAGCCGCCGUAA
rnacentral:rRNA from 1 species